CACUAUUUCUGUUAUCCUUAUAGAUUAGAUACCUUUUAGAAAGAUGUGGUGCUUUUAUCCGACAUGUGAUCUCAAUAAUUCCAGGCCCAAAGAUGCUAGACCAAAAAGGCAAAGUCUAGAGAUCUGGAUAGAUUUGGUAUUGAUCAUGAGAAAUAUUUUGUUUUAUUAGUGCGGGCAUGACAAACAGCAUGUUCACUUUACAAAGCCAAAGCCAAAGGGUCACGUCAGGGCAGCAGUAGUUCAAGUAAAACUGUC